rnacentral:rRNA from 1 species
GACGAACGUUGGCGGCGUGCUUAAUACAUGCAAGUCAACUGAAGCAGUGGUAGCAAUAUCGCUGUGGAGGUGGCGCACGGGUGAGUAACACGUAGGUAAUCUGCCUUCAGGUCUGGCAUAACUCCGGGAAACCGGGGCUAAUAGCAGAUGAUGCAGCGGCUCGACAUCGAGACAGUUGUUAAAGCUAUGGCGCCUGAAGAUGAGCCUGCGUCUGAUUAGCUAGUUGGCGGGGUAACGGCCCACCAAGGCAACGAUCAGUAGCUGGUCUGAGAGGAUGAUCAGCCACACUGGAACUGAGACACGGUCCAGACUCCUACGGGAGGCAGCAGUAAGGAAUAUUGCUCAAUGGGAGAAAUCCUGAAGCAGCAACGCCGCGUGAGGGACGAAGGGCUUUUGUUUGUAAACCUCUGUAGUGAGAGAAAAAAAUCCCAAUCUUUGGGACAUGAUGGUAUCUCAAAAGUAAGCCCCGGCUAACUACGUG